CACUAGCCGAUAUGCUUUUCUCUCAUGCCUUUCCUCGUUCAUGGUUCGAUCGCCUGGUGUCCUAGGCGUAGAGGAACCACACCAAUCCAUCCGAACUUGGUGGUUAAACUCUACUGCGGUGAAGAUACUGUAGGGGAAGUCCUGCGGAAAAAUAGCUCGAUGCCAGGAU
rnacentral:rRNA from 1 species